rnacentral:rRNA from 1 species
GAGUUUGAUCAUGGCUCAGAUUGAACGCUGGCGGCAGGCCUAACACAUGCAAGUCGAGCGGUAGAGAGAAGCUUGCUUCUCUUGAGAGCGGCGGACGGGUGAGUAAUGCCUAGGAAUCUGCCUGGUAGUGGGGGAUAACGUUCGGAAACGGACGCUAAUACCGCAUACGUCCUACGGGAGAAAGCAGGGGACCUUCGGGCCUUGCGCUAUCAGAUGAGCCUAGGUCGGAUUAGCUAGUUGGUGAGGUAAUGGCUCACCAAGGCGACGAUCCGUAACUGGUCUGAGAGGAUGAUCAGUCACACUGGAACUGAGACACGGUCCAGACUCCUACGGGAGGCAGCAGUGGGGAAUAUUGGACAAUGGGCGAAAGCCUGAUCCAGCCAUGCCGCGUGUGUGAAGAAGGUCUUCGGAUUGUAAAGCACUUUAAGUUGGAGGAAGGGCAGUUACCUAAUACGUGAUUGUUUUGACGUUACCGACAGAAUAAGCACCGGCUAACUCUGUGCCAGCC